GAUGAACGCUGGCGGCGUGCUUAACACAUGCAGGUCGAACGAAGCACUUAAGAUUGAUUCUUCGGAUGACGUCUUUUGUGACUUAGUGGCGGACGGGUGAGUAACGCGUGGGUAACCUGCCUCACACAGGGGGAUAACAGUUAGAAAUGACUGCUAAUACCGCAUAACCCGAUAGGAUCGCAUGAUCCAGACGGAAAAGAUUUAUCGGUGUGAGAUGGACCCGCGUCUGAUUAGCUAGUUGGUGAGGUAACGGCCCACCAAGGCGACGAUCAGUAGCCGGCCUGAGAGGGUGAACGGCCACAUUGGGACUGAGACACGGCCCAAACUCCUACGGGAGGCAGCAGUGGGGAAUAUUGCACAAUGGGGGAAACCCUGAUGCAGCGACGCCGCGUGAGUGAAGAAGUAUUUCGGUAUGUAAAGCUCUAUCAGCAGGGAAGAAAAUGACGGUACCUGACUAAGAAGCCCCGGCUAACUACGUG
rnacentral:rRNA from 1 species